UCCCUUGUAGCUCAGUCGGUAAAGAAUCUGCCUGUGAUGCAGGAGACCUGGGUUUGAUUCCUGGAUUGGGAA
rfam:Ovis aries breed Texel chromosome 11, whole genome shotgun sequence.